rnacentral:lncRNA from 1 species
UUCAUCUGCCUUGGGUUGCCUGGAUAUUUCAGGGCACCAUGCUGGAGGUCACUUUAAGACCAGAUGAAGAGCCUUGCUCCUGGGUAAGCUCACCACCUUUCCUGUAGAUCUGUAGAUAACUGUCUGUAAGAGGGACAGCUCUCAAAAGUGGAGCAAAGACAAGACCUUGGUGCUCCACCUAAGUGGGAGGCCGGGUAUCUAGGGAAGCUGACCUUUUGCCCUGCUUGUGGCUAAGGAAGUGAAACUUCACUGGUAGAGGUAGGAGCACUGCUGCCUCCGCAGAGGCUGCAGGAGCAGCACCUGAACAGAACUGUUUGAGAAUGUUCCAGGGAGCAUCGGCUGCAACUGGAAGAGCAGCAAACGAGGCUGUAACCACCCUUUAAAAGAGGGAAGAAAUGAAGAUCCCAGCAGGCAAUCUUUUCUGCCAGGCCUGAGGAAAAUGGCAUCAGCGCCCUCUGCAGCUGAUGGUGUGUAUGUGCAGGUGAAUAAGAGUUUUAA